ensembl:lincRNA
GAUAGGAUCCUACGCCCUGUUGGGGGUCGAGGUAACCUACUUAUGAUGUCACUAAACCUUCCAGCCAGUGGAGAGACAGGAAGAGACCACAAGGUUCUACUCUUGAGGAGAAUGGGCUGCUGUGUAAAAGGGAGCUAUAGAAAGCGUAGCGUAACCAAAGGAUGAAAGCUGAAAGAAUACUCUUGGAAAGUGGAAAAAGAAGGAAGAUUAAAAGAAGAAAUAAGAAACAUGUCAGUGCCCUUUUGUGCGAAAUGUGGGAUAAUUAGACCAUAUCACGUUCUAAUCCUCGCCUGCGCUUUCACGGGCACUGCUUUUCUGUGGUGGGCCUUCAGCCUCUCCACCUGGGUGAAGAUAGAGCUCCCAGGCAGUUCCCAAACCCUGUUCAGUGCUCUCUUUGCGAUUUGCAGUGAUGAGAUCGCAUGCUGGACUCCUCCCUCAACAUCAAGUAAGUUUGACCUUGCAAGGGAGGGCCCAGGCUAACCCUGUCCCUUCCAGGAAUUCUCAAUCCUCAUUUUCUGCCCCAGCAUACCCGAAGGAAACAAUUGUACUCACACCAGUAAGAAUGACUCAUUUGGGAACGAUUUAUUAACCCAAGGAUCAGGCCCCUCUAGGGAUACCAGUCCAGGUAGAAUCACUGUUACCAGCCUUUUUGAAGCAUCCUUCUCCCUCUGUCCCCAAGAUUCCCACGAAUUGCUGCUGGCUUUUUAGUGCUCUGGGCACUCAGACCCGGAAAGGAAGGGGGCCCUAGAGAGAGCUGCUGGCCUCUCUGCCCUCUCCCUCCCCAAUUCAGACUACUUCAUAUUUGGUCGAAUUUUCAUGAUCAGCGCUCUUCUUCUCUCCUUCUUCCUGAGCUUUAUACUUCUGGCCUUCCCUCAGCUCCUCCCUGAUACCUGGAAACAGUACUUUGUGUCCACAGUCACCUUCAUCAUCAUAGUUACAGAAAGAAGCAAAAAUUACCUUUCUCUACCCCUAUUUCAUCCUUUCGUGCAGCACCACGCUAUUUUUCUUAUCUGGAAUUCUCUGCUUCUUCAGCUCCCAUCGUUGUUGGCUUCGAUGUGUUUUACUACGACCAAUCCAAGUGAAACCCAGGCAAAUAUCAGUGACGAAUGUAACAAAAACAGAAAGUACCUUGAGCAGAGAUGGCUAGCCCAAUCUCAGCAGUAAUGACAAGGCUAACUUCGGGAGAGAUGUCAUGUCUAGCCUGUGAGUUAAGACUUCGCAACCAUGUACAAUCUUGCUUAGCUAGCAUGUAAGACUGGAAAGAGGUGGCCUAUUAAUACUCAUUAUUCAGCUAUGGAUGGGGAGCCCAGAAACUUAGAUUUUCACAAGAGAGAGGAUAGAACUGGGGUGCAUGGAGGGAAGUGGGUGAGUCUGCUUUGGCUCUUAGGGACUUGGAAUGAAAACUUCCUUCUCAGCUUGAAGACUUCCCUACACCCACCUACCCCUCACUGGUACUCCUGGUCCCCUAAUUGCAAUUUUCUAACAGUAACAAAGCUUUCUCCACUUAUGAAGUCUGAGUUUUGAUAAGAAUUCUCUGGCCCCUGGAAGUUGUUGAGUGGAAUUUUUUCACUACCGGGUCAUUCAGGACUCUUAGUGGCAGCUAAGAAAACCUUACCCUACUACCUUAAACAACAAUAACAAAAUAAGUUGAAAGAUUCAGGGGUAGGUCACAGACUUGAAAGAAGUUCUGGCGGAAGCAGGGCUACUCAGGGGACUUUGGAGAUUACAACCUGGAGCUUCUUGCCUUCUGUACACCACGCCCCUUCACUUCUUUUGGAAGCUUCUCUCAGAGAAGUUAUAAAGCGACAUGGUCUCUGGCAGUUCUGGGAAGAGGGCAGGGUUGGUCUUUCUCCUGCCUUCAGUGUAUGAAAUCUGAGAGAAGAGCUCUGACUGGCCACGCUUGGCGUGCUCCCAGCUGUGUCUAUGGUCAGAGGCAUGAGUCUGCACCAGAGAAAGCUGGAGGAGGAGGUGGAGGCAUGGGCACUAGCCUCUACAAGGAGCCAGCUGGCAGUGACCAUAAGGACAGUGUCUUCGUGCUUUGGUGGAGUUGUUUUUUUUUUUCCCUUCUGAUGUCUGACUUGGUGAGGACAAGCUAACUGGGUUAAUGUCAAUGGCAAGGAGUUAAAGAUUACGGAAGUCCUGUAAAUCAGAUUUAACAGUUUUCUUGUAGGAACUGAAAUCAGAAUUAUUAAAAUGAAAUGCUGUCAUUUCUCCUGGUUGGAUGAGAUUCAAGAGAUUCAUUUUUAACUAUAAAUAUGAGGGGGGAAUUGUAGGUUUGUCAGGAAUUAUAAAACAGCAUGUUGAGACUGAAUUAUGAAUCUUAGUGGAGCAUGAGGAAGCUACAGAAUUAGGUCAAAAAAGUUUUUAAUUGGGUGAAACAUAUAAUGAUAACUAUAUUUUUACAGAAAAAAAAUAGGCUAUUUGUACUCAGACUUUUAAAGUUGAGUACAAGCUGUAGGUCAAAUUACUUCUGUGAUGGUUAGAUGUGGACAUAUAGGUAUAGCCUCAUGUUUGUUAAUGUUUGGCACAGCUCAAAAUUCUAAAAAAAAAAAAAGGCAUUUUUCAAUAUAGGGAUGGGGUAGGGUAUAGCAGCUACUACCCUUUGCCUACACCGCAUCCAGUCACCAACACCCCCU